GGUGAUCCACCCGCCUUGGCCUCCCAAAGUACUGGGAUUACAGGCAUGAGCCACCGCACCCGGCCUUUAUUUCUUAAUGUGAUCAUCUGAGAAGAAAUUUGGUGCCUCGUUGCUCACCAUCACCACUGGCCCUGGUAGCUCUGCGGAUAAACCAGCUUGGAUUUCACCCUUGAGGAUUAACAUUGCAACACUGCAUAGGCACAUAAAGCCACCUGAAAGUCAAGAUGAGGCAGUCUCGUGCUAGUGACGGAGGGGAAUGAGACUGUGAUCUCCCUCAUGACACUAAUUAAUAUCCUU
rnacentral:lncRNA from 1 species